AUGCGAGGUAGAGCAGUCUGGCAGCUCGCAAGGUUCAUACCCUUGAGGCCAUGGGUUCAAAUCCCAUCCUCGAUA
rnacentral:tRNA from 1 species